CAGAGUUAGGGUGCUUCGCGCCCGACCUCCCACCCUUUGUUGUCGUACAAAAACGUUGCUUUGGCGGGACCGCGCCCCCCUCUCGUAGGGGCGGUUCGCCGCUGGGUUCGCCCGGCGAGUGUCCCGCCAAGGGUCCAAACCACAACUCUUGACAUCAACCUUGAAGUCUGAGCACAAAUUUUGAAAAUAAAUCA
rnacentral:misc_RNA from 1 species